rnacentral:rRNA from 1 species
CGCGAAGCCAACUUCAAGAUAAGAUUUCCCACCGCAAGGGUAAGACCCCAGAAAGACUAUCUGGUUGAUAGGUCGAAAGUGUAAGUGCAGCAAUGUAUUUAGCUUAUCGAUACUAAUAGGUCGAGGACUUGACCAA